rnacentral:rRNA from 1 species
CACGUAGGGCGCAAGCGUUGUCCGGAAUUAUUGGGCGUAAAGAGCUCGUAGGCGGUCUGUUGCGUCUGCUGUGAAAACUCGGGGCUUAACCCCGAGCCUGCAGUGGAUACGGGCAGACUAGAGGUAGGUAGGGGAGAAUGGAAUUCCAGGUGUAGUGGUGAAAUACGUAGAUAUCUGGAGGAACACCGGUGGCGAAGGCGGCUAUCUGGCCCAACAUUGACGCUGAGGCUCGAAAGCGUGGGGAUCAAACAGG